rnacentral:rRNA from 1 species
UAGGGAAUAUUGGUAAUCUGCGAAAGCGGGAACCAGCAACGCCGCGUGUGCGAAGAAGGCCUUCGGGUUGUAAAGCACUUUUCGGGAGGAAGAGGAAGGACUGUACUCCCGGAAUAAGUCUCGGCUAACUACGUGCCAGCAGCCGCGGUAAUACGUAGGAGGCUAACGUUAUUCGGAUUUACUGGGCGUAAAGCGCGUGCAGGCGGUUCGGUAAGUUGGACGUGAAAGCUCCCGGCUCAACUGGGAGAGGUCGUUCAAUACUGCCGGGCUAGAGGAUGGAAGAGGGAGGUGGAAUUCCGGGUGUAGUGGUGAAAUGCGCAGAUAUCCGGAGGAACACCAGUGGCGAAGGCGACCUCCUGGGCCAUUCCUGACGCUCAGACGCGAAAGCUAGGGUAGCGAACGGG